rnacentral:rRNA from 1 species
UACGUAGGUGGCAAGCGUUUGUCCGGAAUUAUUGGGCGUAAAGGGCUCGCAGGCGGUUUUCUAAGUCUGAUGUGAAAUCUUGCGGCCUAACCGUAAGCGGUCAUUGGAAACUGGAGAACUUGAGUACAGAAGAGGAGAGUGGAAUUCCACGUGUAGCGGUGAAAUGCGUAGAGAUGUGGAGGAACACCAGUGGCGAAGGCGACUCUCUGGUCUGUAACUGACGCUGAGGAGCGAAAGCGUGGGGAGCAAACAGG